UACAUAGGGUGCAAGCGUUGUCCGGAUUUAUUGGGCGUAAAGAGUUCGUAGGCGGUUUUUCGCGUCGGAUGUGAAAUCCCCGGGCUUAACCUGGGAACUGCGUUUGAAACUACAAGGCUAGUGUAGCAGAGGGGGGUGGAAUUCCACGUGUAGCAGUGAAAUGCGUAGAGAUGUGGAGGAACACCGAUGGCGAAGGCAGCCCCCUGGGUUAACACUGACGCUCAGGCACGAAAGCGUGGGGAGCAAACAGG
rnacentral:rRNA from 1 species